GUGCUGGCUUCGGCAGCACAUAUAAUUAAAAUUGGAAAGAUACAGAGAAGAUUGGCAUGGCACCUGUGCAAGGAAGACACACAAAUUCGUGAAGCAGUCCGUGGUUUU
ensembl:snRNA U6 U6 spliceosomal RNA